GAUGAACGCUGGCGGCGUGCCUAAUACAUGCCAGUCGAGCGAACAGACGAGGAGCUUGCUCCUUUGACGUUAGCGGCGGACGGGUGAGUAACACGUGGAUAACCUACCUAUAAGACUGGGAUGACUUCGGGAAACCGGAGCUAAUACCGGAUAACAUGUUGAACCGCAUGGUUCAACAGUGAAAGACGGUCUUGCUGUCACUUAUAGAUGGAUCCGCGCCGCAUUAGCUAGUUGGUAAGGUAACGGCUUACCAAGGCAACGAUGCGUAGCCGACCUGAGAGGGUGAUCGGCCACACUGGAACUGAGACACGGUCCAGACUCCUACGGGAGGCAGCAGUAGGGAAUCUUCCGCAAUGGGCGAAAGCCUGACGGAGCAACGCCGCGUGAGUGAAGAAGGUCUUCGGAUCGUAAAACUCUGUUAUUAGGGAAGAACAAAUGUGUAAGUAACUAUGCACGUCUUGACGGUACCUAAUCAGAAAGCCACGGCUAACUACGUG
rnacentral:rRNA from 1 species